UCCAUGGCCAUGCCACCCCGAACACACCCAAUCCCGCCUGAUCGCGGAAGCUGAGCAGGGUCAAGCCUGGUUCGUACUUGGAUGGGAGACCACCUAGGAAGACCAGGUGCCAGAGGAG
rnacentral:rRNA from 1 species